CGAAGCCAGGUGAUCUAUCCAUGGCCAGGUUGAAGCGCGAGUAAAAUCGCGUGGAGGACCGAACCCACCGUUGUUGAAAAAGCGGGGGAUGAGCUGUGGAUGGGGGUGAAAGGCCAAUCAAACCUGGAAAUAGCUGGUUCUCGCCGAAAUAUAUUUAGGUAUAGCGUCCACCAAAGUGCAGCGCGGGGGUAGAGCACUGACUGGGCUAGGGGCCCCACCGGGUUACCAACCCCAAUCAAACUCCGAAUACCGCGUUGUGUGUGGGCAGUCAGACAGCGGGUGCUAAGGUCCGUUGUCAAGAGGGGAAGAACCCAGACCGCCAUCUAAGGUCCCUAAUAGCAGCCUAAGUGGAAAACGAUGUGGGGGCGCACUGACAACCAGGAUGUUGGCUUAGAAGCAGCCAUCAUUUGAAGAGUGCGUAAUAGCUCACUGGUCGAGUGACCCUGCGCCGAAAAUUCAACGGGG
rnacentral:rRNA from 1 species